UACGUAGGGUGCGAGCGUUGUCCGGAAUUAUUGGGCGUAAAGGGCUCGUAGGCGGUCUGUUGCGUCGGGAGUGAAAACUCAGGGCUUAACCCUGAGCCUGCUUCCGAUACGGGCAGACUAGAGGUAUGCAGGGGAGAACGGAAUUCCUGGUGUAGCGGUGAAAUGCGCAGAUAUCAGGAGGAACACCCGUGGCGAAGGCGGCUCUCUGGGACGGUACUGACGCUGAGACGCGAAAGCGUGGGGAGCGAACAGG
rnacentral:rRNA from 1 species